rnacentral:rRNA from 1 species
UACAGAGGGUGCGAGCGUUACUCGGAAUUACUGGGCGUAAAGCGCACGUAGGCGGCUUGGUAUGUCGGGUGUGAAAUCCCCGGGCUCAACCUGGGAACUGCAUCCGAAACUGCCUUGCUCGAGUACGGGAGAGGGAAGUGGAAUUUCCGGUGUAGCGGUGAAAUGCGUAGAUAUCGGAAGGAACAUCAGUGGCGAAGGCGACUUCCUGGACCAAUACUGACGCUCAGGUGCGAAAGCGUGGGGAGCAAACAGG